rnacentral:rRNA from 1 species
ACUCAAAGGAAUAGACGGGGCCCCGCACAAGCAGCGGAGCGUGUGGUUUAAUUCGAUGAUACGCGAAGAACCUCACCCAGGUUUGACAUGCAUGUGGUACAGAGGUGAAAGCCAACGGACCCUUCGGGGAGCAUGCACAGGUGUUGCACGGCCGUCGUCAGCUCGUGCCGUGAGGUGUUGGGUUAAGUCCCGCAACGAGCGCAACCCCUGUCGCCAGUUGUACUUUUCUGGCGAGACUGCCGGUCAAAUACCGGAGGAAGGAGGGGAUGAUGUCAGGUCAGCGUGGCCCUUACGCCUGGGGCUACACACACGCUACAAUGGGUGGUACAGAGGGCAGCCAAGCCGCGAGGCGGAGCCAAUCCCAUCAAAGCCAUCCUCAGUUCGGAUUGCAGGCUGAAACCCGCCUGCAUGAAGCCGGAGUUGCUAGUAACCGCAGGUCAGCACUACUGCGGUGAAUACGUUCCCGGGGCUUGCACACACCGCCCGU